rnacentral:rRNA from 1 species
UACAGAGGGUGCAAACGUUGUUCGGAAUUACUGGGCGUAAAGCGUGUGUAGGCGGCUACAUAAGUCGGAUGUGAAAGCCCCGGGCUCAACCCGGGAAGUGCACUCGAUACUGCGUAGCUUGAGUCUCGGAGAGGUUGGUGGAAUUCUCGGUGUAGAGGUGAAAUUCGUAGAUAUCGAGAGGAACACCGGUGGCGAAGGCGGCCAACUGGACGAAGACUGACGCUGAGACACGAAAGCGUGGGGAGCAAACAGG